ensembl:lncRNA
AAGCAUACUGAGGGGUUAUCACUGAAAAAUGUAGCUUGCAAGUCGCUAGAAGUUCUCCAAUAUUCAUGAUUUCUGCAAAGGUUCCCACUCCAAAUGAAAUAAUGAAUAAUGGCAUUAUUUCGAAGAUCUAACUUUGACUGGUGAGUCCAUCUUCAUACACCACAAAUCCAGUGUAGCAAGGGCUACUGACACAUUAGCAUAUAGGAGAAUUGUCCUGUAGCAAAUGUUGAUACACUUACUGUAUCGCAAACUUCUUGCUGCGUGUAGACCCGUCUUUGGACCGCCUUUUCCGAUCACGCUGCGUAACAACUGCGUCCACUGAAGUCCAAACCAGGUCCACACAGAAAAUGUGUUGUGAAAAUGAAUUUUUUUUUUUUUUUUUAAUAAUUUACUCUGCUCAGUUUGUUGUAGAUUUUUAUUGAUUUGUAUUUUAAAAGGUGGUUCCAUUUGAAUGAUUGGCCACAAAGACAGAAGUAUACAGCUUGAACAGAGUACCUACAGAAAGUUUUCACUCUUUUCAUAUCAAUACAUCCAGUGCUUGAAGUGAAAAGAGACCCAAUGUGUCCACGCUCACGCGCGAGAGACCCAGCGUGUCCACGUCCAUGCAGCAAACACUGAAUCUGCAUUUCUCAAGCAGGUCAGAAAAGAGUACUAAGCUGACAGAAAAAUGUCUGGUACUGUAAACAGCACAGCAUAGAAUUGCUGGUAGGCCUGCUGCAUAUUGGUGAGUACCGUCCCACUUCAAGCACUGUACAUCUAUUAUGGUUUGAUAAGUAUUCUUAAACCUUGUGGUGAAAGUAUGAAUGUUUCACAGUAUUACUCAUUCAACUUGGCAAUUUUUCCUCAGCAAACGGUUGAAAAUCAGCCUGCAUCAUCAUCAUUGGUCCUGCCGCUUUCAGGAUAAGUCAGUGCUUAUCAGCUUUGCGUAAUGUCAUGAAAAAAGAUCCCAAGAAGGUAUCCUGAGAAAGUUCCUCCAAGACAAGGGAGCGGAUAGAUUGCUUAGAAUCAGACAUCCAUGGACAUACAUCAAAGAUGUCAGUGACCUCCAACGAAGUUCUGCAGGCAUUGCAGCCUCAGUUGUCAAGUUUGGAGCGAGCUUUCGAUUGAACAUAGUAGCCUUGAUUUUAUUCCAGGAAUCUUGUCAGGUUCAGCUGGAGCUGAAUACUUAUCAAGCCAUUUCUGUUUGUUCUUUGUUAUCAGAAUGAGAUAUUUUUAUCCCAAAUUUUAAUAUAAAUAUAUUUAUUAAUUAGUUAUUUACAAUUCAAUCAUAUAUUGUAAUAAUUUUUGAAAGAAUGAUGGCUCUCUGUAGGUACUUUUUCCACUAUGUACAUCUGGCCGCCAACAUUUUUCUAAAAACAUUGUUCACAUGCAGUGUUGGGCAGUAACAGUUACUAGUAACUAGUUACAGUAAUAAUAUUACUUUGUGCAGUAACUAGUAGUGUAACUAAUUACUAAUUUGAUUUUAAGUAAUAAUAUCACAGUUACCAUUCCUAAAACAGCUUGUUACUUUAGAUGCCUCAAUCCUUACUGGUUUGAAGUCCAACAAUUUGCCCACCACCUCCCUCUGAUCCCAAUAUAAAUUGUAUUUAAAAAAAAUGAAACAUUUUCUUAUGAGCUUAUAUGAUUUCUUUUGAUAAAAUACAUCAUGGAAUAUAAUAUGGGUAACAGAGAAUUUAGUGCUACAAUUAACUUCAAGCUAAACAAUUAAUCAAGCUAAACAAUUAACACAGUACAACACUUAAAUGUUACUAUUAAUCACCACUGAGUGUUUGUAGUAACUUCUGACUGUGAUCCUAUGUGGAUUUUGGUCAAAUGAUGAGGCAGAAUAUAUUCAGACGGAUUUGGGGAAAAUAAGCAAUUACAAUUUAUGUGGGGUGUGAAAGAAAAAUAAUGUAACUAGUAGUAUAACUAAUUACUUUUGCCAGAGAGUAAUAAGUAAAGUAAUAAUAUUACUUUUGAAAUGAGUAACUAGUAAUGAGUAAUAUAUUAAAUUUUUGGAGUAACUACCACACACUGUUCACAUGACUACAUAAAUAUCAAGUUUCACAUUUAGCAACCAGAAAUACAUAAUUUCCAUUCAAACAUACCUCUUAAUAAAAAUGACCAAAACUCUCUAGAAAAUGGCUGG